rnacentral:rRNA from 1 species
AGCGGCGGACGGGUGAGUAACGCGUGGGUAACCUGCCCUGUACACACGGAUAACAUACCGAAAGGUAUGCUAAUACGAGAUAAUAUACUUUUAUCGCAUGGUAGAAGUAUCAAAGUUUUUGCGGUACAGGAUGGACCCGCGUCUGAUUAGCUAGUUGGUAAGGUAACGGCUUACCAAGGCGACGAUCAGUAGCCGACCUGAGAGGGUGAUCGGCCACAUUGGAACUGAGACACGGUCCAAACUCCUACGGGAGGCAGCAGUGGGGAAUAUUGCACAAUGGGCGAAAGCCUGAUGCAGCAACGCCGCGUGAGCGAUGAAGGCCUUCGGGUCGUAAAGCUCUGUCCUCAAGGAAGAUAAUGACGGUACCUGAGGAGGAAGCCCCGGCUAACUACGUGCCAGCAGCCGCGGUAAUACGUAGGGGGCUAGCGUUAUCCGGAAUUACUGGGCGUAAAGGGUGCGUAGGUGGUUUCUUAAGUCAGAGGUGAAAGGCUACGGCUCAACCGUAGUAAGCCUUUGAAACUGGGAAACUUGAGUGCAGGAGAGGAGAGUGGAAUUCCUAGUGUAGCGGUGAAAUGCGUAGAUAUUAGGAGGAACACCAGUUGCGAAGGCGGCUCUCUGGACUGUAACUGACACUGAGGCACGAAAGCGUGGGGAGCAAACAGGAUUAGAUACCCUGGUAGUCCACGCCGUAAACGAUGAGUACUAGCUGU